rnacentral:rRNA from 1 species
AUUGAACGCUGGCGGCAGGCCUAACACAUGCAAGUCGGACGGUAGCACAGAGGAGCUUGCUCCUCGGGUGACGAGUGGCGGACGGGUGAGUAAUGUCUGGGGAUCUGCCCGAUAGAGGGGGAUAACCACUGGAAACGGUGGCUAAUACCGCAUAACGUCGCAAGACCAAAGAGGGGGACCUUCGGGCCUCUCACCAUCGGAUGAACCCAGAUGGGAUUAGCUAGUAGGCGGGGUAACGGCCCACCUAGGCGACGAUCCCUAGCUGGUCUGGAAGGAUGACCAGCCACACUGGAACUGAGACACGGUCCAGACUCCUACGGGAGGCAGCAGUGGGGAAUAUUGCACAAUGGGCGCAAGCCUGAUGCAGCCAUGCCGCGUGUAUGAAGAAGGCCUCCGGGUUGUAAAGUACUUUCAGCGGGGAGGAAGGCGAUAAGGUUAAUAACCUUGUCGAUUGACGUUACCCGCAGAAGAAGCACCGGCUAACUCCGUGCCAGCCGCCGCAGUAA